CACCUCUCAGGGUCACACCUGGAGAAUUUCCAGGACUCUACCAGUCUCGACUAUGGGAGGGAGAGUCAAGCAGAGGCACAUCCACUCCACUCCUAGCUUGGGCGGUGGCUAGUAAAUGGAAGGCAGUCUGCUGCAAGU